rnacentral:misc_RNA from 1 species
UGCUUCGGCAUCGAACCGUCCGCGCACGCUCCACGUCAGUGAUGCAUCAAGACAUUCUUGUGCUUCAAAGCGAUUCCUGUAUUUGCUACCUAUGUUUUAAAGGAAUGGUGCCUCUCGCUUACUCUUUCCUUCCCCGACCAUGCGGUUAGGGGGAGGACAUCGUAGUGGCGCCUGUGCCCCCCGCAUUGGACGUGCCGUAUGGCGUGCACCAUGCGACGGUUCUCAGGUUGUUGCUUGAUGCCUYGGAUACGGAACAUUCGGUGGGCUUGGGUGUCUCGGCACCUUUGAUGUCCAAAUUCAAGCGUUUUGUCGCUAGACAUGUACGACUGUCAUGCUCGUUGCGGGUCUCCCGUGCGGUGCUUGGCGUCGGCAAAAGAAUGCUACCUGGUU